AGAUAAUGGGAGAAUUUUUCUUCAUUGAAAAUGCUCUGUGUCGCUUAGGAAGAACUUACUGAGGCAGCCUGCCAUCUAGCUUUUUCACAGAAAAACAGGCUUACAGACUGCAGAUGAGAGAGUCUGGAGCAGAGACAGUUUUAACUUAGCCAUUCCUAAUUUAUCUCAAGCAUAUUCAAUUCAUCUUCACUGCUCUAUGCACACAGGAACACCAGAUUGUCGUCCCUAGGGAACAGAAUGCAACCGGAGAUCUAGAGAGCUGUCACAUUCCAAGAAAUAUUUAAAUUGUGCUGAUUUUCUUCUGGAGAACUGAGCCCAGGGAAUGAAACUCUCCAUCAAGUCAUAGCUUUGCGGGCAAUAGAUCAGAGGAUAUUGCCAGUUUUCUAAUGGAUUAUUGUUAUCGGGCAGGUUUUCUCUGAAGCUUCUCAGCUUCUGUUAUAUCCUUCUUGGAUGGCUCUGUACCAGCUACUCAAGUGUUGAAGUCAUCAAGAUAACCCCAUGCCUGAAAUGAGACACUGUGCCGCUACUGCAUGGGAGACCCAAGUCAGUGGAAGAACUGACUAGCUGAACCCAGUGGAGUGCUGGAUUCAUGAACAAAAUAAGUGAUGCUGUUGGUUCCAGCCACUAUUUUGGGCUAUUAACACAGUAAUAGAUAAUCAGAACAACAACAACAACAAUCUAGAGAUUUUUUUUUUUCUUUAGAAAAAUACAUGAAAGAUAAAACUAGCUAUAGACUUUAUUUUAUGACUGUGGUUUAGGUCAAGAUCCCUGAUAGCAGCACUAUGGACCUUUGGGGUCCAAUAAUUUUUGUUAUGAGGGGUUUCUCUGUGUUGUAUCAAAUGUUUAGCAGCAUCCUGCCCUGUUUUCACUAGAUGCCAAUGGCAUAUAAUCUCCCAAGUUGUGACUACUGUAAGUGUCUCCAGACAUUUUCAGGAGAGACAAAAUCUUAGUUAAGAAUCACUGAUGACAUAAAUUUCAGGAAAGAUUGGAGAAUGGUAGGAGAAAAAGAAAUCCUAGAAAAGAAAAGAGUAUGAAAUGUUUUAGCUUAAAUGGCUAAGACUUUAUACCAAGUCCUCUAAUAAUAACCAUAGAGACAGUUUUGAAACAAGCAUAUUCUAGAAAUAAAUGUUCUGUUUGCAAAAUUAUCAAAUGUUCAUGCUAUACAUACUUUUGUAAAUACAUGGAAUUAGAGUUCAAUUAAGGUAUGCGAUUAUUGAUGGUUACCUUGACUAAUUGUUUUACUUGCUUCUGGCAAUUUUUGUUAUCUCUUCUUUCAUGCGUCAGCUGAAUUUUCAUGUUAUUUUCUAUCGUUUCAGUAAAAACAAAUAAUUUUAGAAACUGACAGCUAGUCAAGAGAUGAGUUUUGUCCCCCAGAUAACCCCACAAUAUAAUAUUUGAGCUUUUAAAAAUACUUACCAAGAAACAAUUGCUAAUUGAUACUAAUGAGCUGUGUUGUGCGUUUCUGACAGGACAAUGUACCUCUUCAAAUUCUGGUCCUACUAAUUGCAUGGCAACUUACAAUUCAAAGUAAACACUAUCAGAAUAUUUAUUCAUAAAAAAAAAAAAAAACCCAGAGGAUUUGGAGUUAGGAGACAUUAGGUUUUAGUAAGAAUUCUUGUUUUCUCCUAUAGUAUGAGUAUUUUAAACUACUAACAUAGUUCUGAUUUUUUACUUUAAUUGAAUCCGUAUACUUACGUAAGCCACUUAAGGGGCUCUGUAUAGUUCAUUGUAAAUUAUUAGAUUUAUUUCAAACAUUUCUUUCUGAAUUACAGUUGUUAGGAUAAUUAUAAUUACUAGUUUACCUUUUUUUUUCUAAUUGUUUAGUUGUCCAGAGAAGGUUGGUUGGCCAAUAAGAGAGUGAAUGAAUUGAUAUUGUUUCCAUCUUGCACCUAAUAAUGAUGCCAUCUUGCUAUGCUCAGUCACGCCUGGUCCUUUGUGGCCCAAAGGACUGUAGCCCAGCAGGCUCCUCUGUCCAUGGAAUUUUCCAGACAAGGAUACUAGGGCGGGUUGCCAUUUCCUUCUCCAGGGGAUCUUCCCAACCCAGGGAUCAAACCCCUGUCUCUUGUGUCUCCUGCAUUGGCAGGGGGAUUCUUUACUACUGUGCCACCUGGGAAGCCCUUAAUGGUGCCAUUGUCUCCUAACAGUUCUGUUUCAAAUGCUGAUUGUCCUAAAUGUGAAGAAAUUAGCGCAAAUUCAUUUUUACAAUUAGACAGUGAAAAUCUAUCAGCAGAACAAUGAAAACAUCAGGGUGUGUAGUAUACAAUGCUAGGUGGUGAGAAGUAUUAAAUACGUGUUUAAUGGGCAAGGAAUUCCCCUAUGCUCCCAAUACACCAUAGUAUUAUUUCUACUAGAAGUCUAAGUAAGCUAGUGCCUGAUCAUAUAAUGGACUGAACUUUCAAAUAUACAAGGUGUUAUCUUUUUCUUGGUAAUUGGCAUGUCACUAUUAUAAGGCAUGUGUCUAUUAUCAGGUGACAGUUACCACUUAUCAGAGGGAUAGGACAUUCUUUGCAUAGAGCAUUCAAAGAAAUUAAAUCAAUUUUCUCCUUUUUACAAACUUUACAUGGUGCAAUGACAUAUAAAUUGAUUUGUAAACUGUUUAUAACUUGUAGAUAGGUUUACCUCUUUCAUUUUUCAGGAAGUAAGGAAUGGUAAAGCUGGAGAGAUCUGGCAUGCCAGUACAUUAGCCCUUCUGUAACUGAUUCUCAUUUUAAUGUUGCUCUCUUUCUUGCAAGGGCAAGAUGCUAAAUGAGAUGAGAUAAUUUACAUUUUGUCACAUUUGCUUUCAAAGAUUAAUAUACACCAAUAAGAGGAAUCCAAAAGAUAAUAUUAGGAGGAGUGAAUUCAUGAAGCACAGCUACUGUUUAAAAGCAGAAUUAGGUGGCAUGCUGUUUAUCAGAAUGGUUUCUUAUGAUUUACUCAAAAUAAAUGAACAGAGGAGUAAUAUGUGAAAGCCUAUGGUUUGAAAUGUGGCAUAUUUGAGAAUGAAACCUGGAUCUGCAAUGUUAGGAUUCUGUGAUAUUCGAUUAUUUUUCCAGUGCUUUUGUGUUCAUACAUACCCCAAAGAGAAACAAGGUUAACUCUUUAAAAUGUUUUGUGUAUGAAUGAACAUCUCCAAAUCAGUUUAAAUGUUGUUAUUAUGAACAUGAUUAUAGUUUUUCAAGUAAAAGAACAAUUUGUAAAUUAUUAUAUGUAAUUAUUUAAGGUUUGACUCUAAUAUAGUGAGAUAAAUUUUCAUGUGACUUAUGAAAACUUAAAACUUCAUGGAUUAUUUGUCAAAUAUGUCAGAUGAUAGGAAAAAAUACUGGUACUUUUUUAUUUACUUUUGACUGUAGCUAUCUUAUUUAACUCAUAACAUAUCUAGAGUAUUUUAAUAGAUUCUGAAAUAGUAAUUUUUGAUUUUUCCUUCCUUUCUUCUCUCUCUCCAUUCUUCUUUCCUUUCUGCCUCCUUCUCUAACUUUUUCCAUUCAUCCUCUUUUCUAUGUAUUUAGUGAGGAUUUGGCAUCUUCUUUUCUAUAUAUUUAGUGAAGAUUUGGGUUUACCAGGUGGCAUUAGUGGUAAAGAACCCACCUGCCAGUUCAGGAAAUACAGGGGAUGAGAGUUUGAUUCCUGGGUCUGGAAGAUCCCCUGGAGGAGGGCACAGUGACCCACUUCAGUAUUCUUGUCCGAAGAAUUCCAUGGUCAGAGGAGCCUGGUGGGCUGUAGUCAAUCGGGUCACAAACAGUUGGUCACAACUGAAGUGACUUAGCACACAGGCACAGUGAGGAUUUAAUGUAUCAUAUACUGAGGUAGACACUGCAAACAACACUGAGAACAUUGGAGCAUUUGUUCCCAAGGUACAACCCCUCUAAUAGAAACAGAAAAGCCAUGACAAAUAAAAAUAAUGAAAUACUAACCUGUGCUAUGGAAAACAAACAAAAAAUCAUGAAGGAGCAGGACAUUUCAUUCCCCAGCUUGUCUAUCUCUGGAAUAUUUUUAUUUCUCUGUCCGGUGGAUAUCUAUCAGGUUUAUUUUUAAUAGAAAUUUAGUUCUGUUGUUCUGAAUAUGUAAUUUCUAUAAUGUUAUAAUGACUCACAGAUACAGUGUAACCUACUCAUUAUGUGUACUAACUACAUGUAUCUUCCAUAGCCUGCUUCUACAGUAACUAAGACUAUUUUUUAUGCAAAAUAUUUUUUUAAAUCCUUAUUUUUAUUUAUUUCUGAUUGGCUUAUAUUUUGUUCUCAACUCUUGUCAUAGAUCUUCAUAGAUCACAGUGCUUUUGACAAAGUAUGGCUCAAUAUCUUGAUCAAUCAGUCAAUAAAUGAUGAAAUAAAUGAACAAACUCAUGAUUGAUAAACUGGAUGAUUGAAUGAGAACUAUAUGGCAUAUUUUCCUAGGUGUUCUCUCUGACUAAAUUAUCUUUUCUCUUCUUCCUCUAUUUGUGUAUAUUUUCCAGACUUCAAUAUCCUACUAUUUCAUUCUCCUUUGAUCAAAUCAGUUGAUACCAACAUUCUAAUGUUAUUGCUUAUAUUAAGCAUUUUUUUCUAUUAAAUCUUUUUUGAUAUUGUUAUUUUAUCACUAAGUCAUGUCUGACUCUUUGCAACCCCAUGGACUGCAGCAUGCCAGGCUUCUUUGUUCUUCACUGUCUCCUGGAGUUUGCUCAGUCUCAUGGCCACUGAGGUAGUGAUGCCUUUUUGACAUAUCUUAUGAUAACUUUUCUUGUAUUAUAUAUAUGCCCUCUCAAUAGCUAACAUGUAGAGAAUUAUUCAUUGCAUCCUUUCAUAAUUUUGAUAAAACUAUCUUUUUCUAAAGCUAGACUCUUCUAAAUUGACAUAUAUAUACACAAAUAUAAGUAUAUACACAUAUGAAUUAUAUGGAUAUAUAGAUUUCUCUCCCUCUCUCUAUAUAUAUGUAUAUAUAUAUACACACACACACAAAGCUUGUGUGUUUGUUUUGUAUACAGGCAUCCCUUUAUAGUGGAGGUACACCAUAAAUACUAAUAUAUUUAAGAGAUGUUACCCCCUUAUAGAUCAGCCCUGGGAUUUCUUUGGAAGGACUGAUGCUGAAACUGAAACUCCAGUACCUUGGCCACUUCAUGUGAAGAGCUGACUCACUGGAAAAAACUCUGAUGCUGGGAGGGAUUGGGG
ensembl:lncRNA